AAGGAAAAAAAGAAGGAAGGAAGGAAGGAAGAGUUACGGAGGAUUUAUACUUUAUACAAAUUAGAGCCCUUCCUGGUCUACAUAAAGAGUUCCAGGCCAGCCAAGGCUAUAGAAGGUGGGAGGGAGAAGGAGAAAGAAGAGGAGGGAGGAGGGAGUCACAGAAGACAGCUAGUGUUGUCUCCAUUUAACAGAUUAAAAAAAAAAUCAUAGCUAUGAUUUAAUGAAUAGCUGCUGAGUUACGCAGUGUGCUAAGUACAGACUUUGAAAACAAAAUAUUUUUCUUCCUAUUUAAUAGCUGAAGAACAUAAAGGUAGCAAAUGAAAAAUGAAUGGGUUCCCAAGACAGCGUUCUCUUCCACUGCCACACAGGACACUGGGAAACAAAGGCCUGAAAAAGAUGUUCUUGGGCCAUCAAGAUGGACCAGAAGGGUCUCACUCUGUAGGAAAUCUCACCAAUAGAAUGGAUCAGAGAGAAGAUAAACCAUCCAAACUUGAAGAAGAACAAUCCAAUGCAGACAACAAUAAAAUAUUUAGAAAACACCAGUGAGAAUUCCAAGACAUAAGUGAUACUUAGAAAUGACUAGAUAUGCUGAGCCAUCUCUCUAUGUUUUAUUAACUUUAAAUUUUUUAAAUGCCAAUGAGACAGGAAACAGCCAGGGAGAGUACAUUGGAUAAUGGAAAAACUGCUGAAUUAAAUCAGCCUGGAUACUUUAAAGAUGUGUUGACCUCAGAAUGGAAACCAAGAUAUGUGUUAUGUUAGGGAAGAGGUUUGGCUUUUGUUUCCACAGGAGGAGAAAAAUUAUGGAUACUAUCAAGAUUGAUAAAGAUUAGAUUCAAACAGGAGAGACCUCUUGGUUAGGAGAGGUGAUAUUCAUCAAAUAGCAAGGCCUUUCAACCUGCCAAAAAGAGAAACUCCACAAAGUUAAGGUUGGGGCAGAGUUUUGUUUUGGUUUUCCAGGAAAAAUAAAAGUAUCCAAAAAAAAAAAAAGAGAGAGAGAGAGAAUCUGAAGACCACUGGACGCAUGGGACAUACGAAGAAGAAGAGUGAAUCAUCCAGAGAAAAUGCCCCAAGAAAAAGAACAAAUUGGCCUAAAUGUAUAGCACACUUCCAAUAGGAUAAAAUUUCAUAAAUCUUCCCAAGUAUUUUUCUCUACUGUGUCUACAGACACAUAAGACAAAUGGUCUUUUUGUAUUCCCAAUUCAAUUAAAAAUUAAAGCUGGCUUUGGAAUUGGAUUGUGGCUCUCACCUUCUCUAAACCCAAGUAUGCUUGUUAAAGGAAAAACUGAAAUCUCUGUCUCAUGUCAGAAGAGCCACCUGGUAUGGGACAGAAGAAAAACCAAAGUUAGAGACUAUUCUGUGGCCACUAAUCUCAUAAUCUCAUAAUCCUUUGGUUUUAUUUUGACUCUUUAAAACUUUUCUUAAGGUAUAAAUAUUAUCUCAAAAUUUAUGAUUAAUACAUACAUAUUUAAACCUUUUGUCAUGAUAUUAAUGGUCGUAUAGUGUACUAAGGAUUUCAUCUAGCUUCCUGUACAUGAUUUCAGGUAUGAGUCUCUCACAGGUAGCUAAAAAUUAAGUUUUUGUGCUCUGGAUGUAUAUAACAAAUAUUGAUCCUUUAACCUCUUUAAGAUCUGCUGCAUAUGACACUUAAAACGUUUAAGUUUCUGGCAAUGAAUCCUGAUCAUUCCUAACAGUGACCUUUGAAGUCUCCAAAAGGAUAUUGGGGCCCCAUAACAAUGAAUCUGCCUGGAUUGUGGUAAUGCCACUAAGCUGACAAACACUACCACCCAAAGAUCAGCUUUGAACUGCAAACUACUCAGAACAGCUUCAAAGAAGUUAGUUAAGAUGGUCCAGCCUCGUAGACUACUCCAGCUAGAACUUCAGAUAACACCAAGACUGGAAAGAUUUUUGCCAACUACGCAUCUGAGAGAGGGCUAAUUUCCAAAAUAUAUAAAGAAUUCAUGAAAUUAGAUAUCAAGAAAAAAUAACCCAAAUAAAAAUGAAGUACAGAUCUAAACAGAAAAUUUUCAAUAUAGUAAACUCAAAUGGCUGAGAAACAUUUAAAGAAAUAUUCCAGCCGGUGUUGGUGGCACACGCCUUUAAUCCCAGCA
rnacentral:lncRNA from 1 species